CCAGCAGCCGCGGUAAUACGUAGGGUGCGAGCGUUAAUCGGAUUUACUGGGCGUAAAGCGUGCGCAGGCGGUUUCGUAAGACAGACGUGAAUUCCCCGGGCUCAACCUGGGAACUGCGUUUGUGACUGCGAGGCUAGAGUACGGCAGAGGGGGGUAGAAUUCCACGUGUAGCAGUGAAAUGCGUAGAGAUGUGGAGGAAUACCGAUGGCGAAGGCAGCCCCCUGGGUUAGUACUGACGCUCAUGCACGAAAGCGUGGGGAGCAAACAGGAUUAGAUACCCUGGUAGUCCACGCCCUAAACGAUGUCAACUAGGUGUUGGAAGGGUUAAACCUUUUAGUACCGCAGCUAACGCGUGAAGUUGACCGCCUGGGGAGUACGGCCGCAAGGUUAAAACUCAAAGGAAUUGACGGGGACCCGCACAAGCGGUGGAUGAUGUGGAUUAAUUCGAUGCAACGCGAAAAACCUUACCUACCCUUGACAUGCCAGGAACUUUCCAGAGAUGGAUUGGUGCCCGAAAGGGAGCCUGGACACAGGUGCUGCAUGGCUGUCGUCAGCUCGUGUCGUGAGAUGUUGGGUUAAGUCCCGCAACGAGCGCAACCCUUGUCAUUAAUUGCCAUCAUUCAGUUGGGCACUUUAAUGAGACUGCCGGUGACAAACCGGAGGAAGGUGGGGAUGACGUCAAGUCCUCAUGGCCCUUAUGGGUAGGGCUUCACACGUCAUACAAUGGUCGGUACAGAGGGUUGCCAAGCCGCGAGGUGGAGCCAAUCCCAGAAAGCCGAUCGUAGUCCGGAUCGCAGUCUGCAACUCGACUGCGUGAAGUCGGAAUCGCUAGUAAUCGCGGAUCAGCAUGUCGCGGUGAAUACGUUCCCGGGUCUUGUACACACCGCCCGUCACACCAUGGGAGUGGGUUCUACCAGAAGUAGUUAGCCUAACCGUAAGGAGGGCGAUUACCACGGUAGGAUUCAUGACUGGGGUGAAGUCGUAACAAGGUAGCCG
rnacentral:rRNA from 1 species